rfam:Hydrogenobacter thermophilus TK-6 DNA, complete genome.
GGGGGCGAAUGGAUUCGACGGGGACAGUAGGCAGAGAGUAGCAGGCAGGGUGGCAACCUCAACAGCCAAAGCAAACAUUUCCCGAAGCUGAGCUCGCUCUCGCUGCCUAACUAAAGGCAGCGGCUCACCGGUGGCUGCACCUCUGGGUUGCCGGAUGGGUUCAGAAACAGAGGUGUAGGGAGAAGGUGUUGUGGGGUGCACCUCUUCCGAAAGCUAAACCCCACCUGCCUCUGGAGGUUUGCAGGUGGACAUCCGGAGGUCAGUACCAAAACACCUGCUAAGCCUGUAGAAGCUCCCUUGCCGGGCUGUCCUCGGACGGGAGUUCGAUUCUCCCCGCCUCCACCA